CACUUUUAAUGGGCACCCAGCCGCCCACUAAUUUUAGG
rnacentral:tRNA from 1 species